rnacentral:ribozyme from 1 species
GCUUGUUGCUUUUCUUAUUUUAUUUAAAUUCCUCUCUCCCUUUCUCUCUCUCUUUUUCUCUCUCAUGUGUGCGUACACGACUUAGCUACAAGCGAACGAUUCGGAGGAAAUACGGAACGUAUCCAGGAAACAAAAUACUAAGGAGCUAGCCAAGGGGGAAUGCCAAUACAGUUAUACAAUUCCUAUAUUUCCCAGAAUUCCUAUA